GACUCCUAGGCGCAAAGGUAGCGCGUCUGACGCCAGAUCAGAAGGUUGCGAGUUCAAAUCACGUCGGGGUCA
rfam:Nematostella vectensis strain CH2 x CH6 NEMVEscaffold_564_Cont30122, whole genome shotgun sequence.